UUGACCUCAAAUCAGGUAGGACUACCCGCUGAACUUAAGCAUAUCAAUAAGCGGAGGAAAAGAAACUAACAAGGAUUCCCCUAGUAACUGCGAGUGAAGCGGGAAGAGCUCAAAUUUGAAAUCUGGCGGUUCCUUGGACCGUCCGAGUUGUAAUCUAGAGAAGUGCUACCUGUGCUGGACCGUGUACAAGUCUUCUGGAAUGGAGCAUCACAGAGGGUGAGAAUCCCGUCUUUGACACGGACUGCCUGUGCGAUAUGGUGCGCUCUCGAAGAGUCGAGUUGUUUGGGAAUGCAGCUCAAAAUGGGUGGUAAAUGCCAUCUAAAGCUAAAUAUUGGCGAGAGACCGAUAGCGAACAAGUACCGUGAGGGAAAGAUGAAAAGAACUUUGGAAAGAGAGUUAAACAGUACGUGAAAUUGCUGAAAGGGAAACGCUUGAAGUCAGUCGCGUCGGCUGGAAAUCAGUCUUGCUUCUGCUUGAUGUACUUUCUGGUCUGACGGGUCAGCAUCAGUUUUGACCGCUGGAUAAAGUCAUUGGGAAUGUGGCAUCUCAGGAUGUGUUAUAGCCCGUUGUCGCAUACAGUGGUUGGGAUUGAGGAGCUCAGCACGCCGCAAGGCCGGGUCCUUC
rnacentral:rRNA from 1 species